rnacentral:rRNA from 1 species
CGUGAGGAACCUGCCUUUCAGUGGGGGACAACAGUUGGAAACGACUGCUAAUACCGCAUAACAUAUCUGCAUCGCAUGGUGUGGAUAUCAAAGAUUUAUCGCUGAGAGAUGGCCUCGCGUCUGAUUAGCUAGUUGGUGGGGUAACAGCCCACCAAGGCGACGAUCAGUAGCCGGCCUGAGAGGGUGAACGGCCACAUUGGGACUGAGACACGGCCCAAACUCCUACGGGAGGCAGCAG